UCAAAGUGAACAAAAGCUUUACAAUGUAACAGGUUAAAUGUUCUGUAAUCAUUAUUUAAUUAUUAAAAUUAUAUUAAAUCAUUUGUUGUUUAGCUAUUAUCAAUGAUCAUUUUAGUAGCAUGUGCUGAUAGAAAUUUCUUCUAGUUUUGCUUUUCUUUUAAAUUGAACAAUUACACCAGUUCUGGAUCAUUCAUUUAAUGUUUGUUUUUAUUGAUUUCAAUACCAAUACAUAGUAGCUUUCUUUAAAAACAGUUGCCAUAGUAACAUUCCAUGACAGUUAAAUUCAGUUAAUUGCAUCAGUUAAAGUUAGUUCAACACAGAAGGAACUUGAAGCAGCCAUUCAUUUUGUGAUCCUCUGUAGAAAGCAUUGUCUUUUCACUCUGUUUCAACAUAUUCGUCAUGGUCUGGAAUAAAGCAGAAGCUGACAUGUUGAAAGAGUUUACCUAUCUGUCUAACUUUAGGAAGAGAGACGCCAUUGUGAGCUCUCAGUUUGUCCAGACGGAGGGAGAAGUUUCCAUGUUGAAUCUGAUCAGUAAAGAAAUGAGC